rnacentral:rRNA from 1 species
AUUGAACGCUGUCGGCAGGCCUAACACAUGCAAGUCGAACGAGUGGCGGACGGGUGAGUAAUGUCUGGGAAACUGCCCGAUGGAGGGGGAUAACUACUGGAAACUGUAGCUAAUACCGCAUACCAUCGGAUGUGCCCCGAUGGGAUUAGCUAGUAGGUGGGGUAACGGCUCACCUAGGCGUCGAUCCCUAGCUGGUUUGAGAGGAUGACCAGCCAAACUGAAACAGAGACACGGUCCAGACUCCUACGGGAGGCAGCAGUGGGGAAUAGUGCACAAUGGGAGCAAGCCGGAUGCAGCCAUGCCGCGUAUAUGAAGAAGGCCUUCGGGUUGUAAAGUACUUUCAGCGAGGAGGCGUUACUCGCAGAAGAAGCACCGGCUAACUCCGUGCCAGCAGCCGCGGUAAUAC